AAUCUUCGCAAACAACCCAUGUAAUACAAUAGGGGAAAAGAUACAUAGUUUGCUUACACUCGCCACUUCACACAAUACAUGAAUAAAGCAUUACAUCAUCCAGAUACACACAAGGUCCGACUACGGAACCAAAAUAAAAGAAGACUACCCCAAAUGCUACACAGAUCCCCGAUCGUCCCGACUGGUCUCCACUACUGAUCAACUAAAAACGGAACAACACAAAGGACAAGAUCUUCAUCGAGCUCCUCCUGAGCUUGGUUGCGUCAUCUGCACGGACUCAUCGGCACCUGCAAGCUGGUUUUGGAAGUCUUUGUGAGUCACGGGGACUCAGCAAUCUCACACCCUCGCAAUCAAGACUAUUUAAGCUUAUGGGUAAGGUAAAGGUCUGAGGUGGAGCUGCAGCAAGCGACUAGCAUAUAUGGUGGCUAACAUGCGCAAAUGAGAGCGAGAAGAGAAGGCAAAGCACGGUCGAACAACUAUGAUCAAGAAGUGAUCCUAGAACAACCUACGUCAAGCAUAACUCCAACACCGUGUUCAUUUCCCGGACUCCGCCGGAAAGAGACCAUCACGGUUACACACGCGGUUGAUGCAUUUUAAUUAAGGUCAACUUCAGGUUUUCUACAACCGGACGUUAACGAAUUCCCAUCUGCCAUAACCGCGGGCACGACUUUCGAAAGUUCAAAUCCCUGCAGGGGUGUCCCAACUUAGCCCAUCACAAGCUCUCACGGUCAACGAAGGAUAUUCCUUCUAGCGGGAAGACCCGAUCAGACUCGGAGCCCCGGUUACAAGACAUCCUCGACAAUGGUAAAACAAGUCCAGCAAGACCACCCGCUGUGCCGACAAAUCCCGAUAGGAGCUGCACAUAUCUCGUUCUCAGGGCACACCGGAUAAGCUAAGCGUACGGGAGCCAACGUAACCCAAGUUGCCAAGGGACGGCCCCGCAUGGUGCUCUGGGUUGGACCAACACUUAGAGAAGCACUGGCCCGGGGGUUUAAAAUAAAGAUGACCCUUGAGUCGGCCGACUCAAGGGAAAGAAAAGGCUAGGUGGCGAAUGGUAAAACCAAUGUUGGGCCUUGCUGGAGGAGUUUUAUUCAAGGCGAACUGUCAAGGGGUUCCCAUUAUAACACAACCAUGUAAGAACGCAAAAUCCAGGAACAUAACACCGAUAUGACGGAAAACUAGGGCGGCAAGAGUGGAACAAAACACCAGGCAUAAGGUCGAGCCUUUCACCCUUUACCAAGUAUAUAGAUGCAUUAAUUAGAUAAGAGAUAUUGUGAUAUCCCAACAAGUAAACAUGUUCCAACAAGGAACAACAUCUCCAUGUUCCAACAAGGAACAAACUUCAAUCUUCACCUGCAACUAACAACGCUAUAAGAGGGGCUGGGCAAGCGGUAACAUAGACAAACAAUGGUUUGCUAGGACAAGGUGGUUAGAGGCUUGGCUUAACAAUAUGGGAGGCAUGAUAAGCAAGUGGUAGGUAUCACAGCAUAGGCAUAGCAAAAGAGCGAGCAUCUAACAAGUCAAGAUAGAAGUGAUUUCGAGGGUAUGGUCAUCUUGCCUGAGAUCCCGCAAGGAAGAAGAACGAGUCCAUGAAGAAGACAAACGAACGUAGUCGAACGGUUCCUCACAAACGCGACGUUACCGGGUUACCGAGAAGAAGCAACACCGGAAAGAAGCAAACCACAUAGUAAACAA
rnacentral:lncRNA from 1 species